CGCCCGCCUCAGCCUCCCAAAGUGCUGGGAUUACAGGCGUGAGCCACUGCGCCCGGCCAAUGCAUGGAAAUGUUUAUG
rnacentral:miRNA from 1 species